rnacentral:rRNA from 1 species
AUUGAACGCUGGCGGCAUGCUUUACACAUGCAAGUCGAACGGCAGCGCGGGCUUCGGCCUGGCGGCGAGUGGCGAACGGGUGAGUAAUGCAUCGGAACGUGCCCAGUAGUGGGGGAUAGCCCGGCGAAAGCCGGAUUAAUACCGCAUACGACCUGAGGGUGAAAGCGGGGAACCGAAAGGCCUCGCGCUAUUGGAGCGGCCGAUGUCGGAUUAGCUAGUUGGUGGGGUAAAGGCUUACCAAGGCGACGAUCCGUAGCUGGUCUGAGAGGACGACCAGCCACACUGGGACUGAGACACGGCCCAGACUCCUACGGGAGGCAGCAGUGGGGAAUUUUGGACAAUGGGGGCAACCCUGAUCCAGCCAUGCCGCGUGCGGGAAGAAGGCCUUCGGGUUGUAAACCGCUUUUGUUCGGGAAGAAAUCCUCUGGGCUAAUACCCCGGGGGGAUGACGGUACCGGAAGAAUAAGCACCGGCUAACUACGUG